AGAGUUUGAUCAUGGCUCAGAUUGAACGCUGGCGGCAUGCUUUACACAUGCAAGUCGAGCGGCAGCGCGGGGGCAACCCUGGCGGCGAGCGGCGAACGGGUGAGUAAUGCAUCGGAACGUGUCCCGUAGUGGGGGAUAACGCCACGAAAGCGGCGCUAAUACCGCAUACGCUCUACGGAGGAAAGCAGGGGAUUCGCAAGGACCUUGCGUUAUGGGGGCGGCCGAUGUCCGAUUAGCUAGUUGGUGGGGUAACGGCCUACCAAGGCGACGAUCGGUAGCUGGUCUGAGAGGAUGAUCAGCCACACUGGGACUGAGACACGGCCCAGACUCCUACGGGAGGCAGCAGUGGGGAAUUUUGGACAAUGGGGGCAACCCUGAUCCAGCCAUGCCGCGUGCGGGAAGAAGGCCUUCGGGUUGUAAACCGCUUUUAGCCGGGAAGAAAAGGCGCGAGUUAAUAGCUUGCGUUUUUGACGGUACCGGCGGAAUAAGCACCGGCUAACUACGUGCCAGCAGCCGCGGUAAUACGUAGGGUGCGAGCGUUAAUCGGAAUUACUGGGCGUAAAGCGUGCGCAGGCGGUUCGUUGUGUCGGUGGUGAAAGCCCCGGGCUUAACCUGGGAAUGGCCAUGGAAACUGGCGAACUGGAGUGUGGCAGAGGGGGGUGGAAUUCCGCGUGUAGCAGUGAAAUGCGUAGAGAUGCGGAGGAACACCGAUGGCGAAGGCAGCCCCCUGGGCUAGCACUGACGCUCAGGCACGAAAGCGUGGGGAGCAAACAGGAUUAGAUACCCUAGUAGUCC
rnacentral:rRNA from 1 species